rnacentral:pre_miRNA from 1 species
UCCGUACUGAGAUUUCGUCACACACCAGACCACAAGGGCUGAUGAGACUUCCAAGA